rnacentral:rRNA from 1 species
GCCAUCGGCCAUACCAUGCUGAAUGCGCCGGUUCUUGUCCGAUCACCGAAGCUAAGCAGCAUUGGUCUUGGUCAGUACUUGGGUGGGAGACCACCUGGGAAUAUCAAGUGCUGAUGGCA